rnacentral:rRNA from 1 species
CCUACGGGUGACAGCAGUGAGGAAUAUUGGUCAAUGGGCGCGAGCCUGAACCAGCCAAGUAGCGUGAAGGAUGACUGCCCUACGGGUUGUAAACUUCUUUUAUAAGGGAAUAAAGUGAGGCACGUGUGCCUUUUUGUAUGUACUUUAUGAAUAAGGAUCGGCUAACUCCGUGCCAGCAGCCGCGGUAAUACGGAGGAUCCAAGCGUUAUCCGGAUUUAUUGGGUUUAAAGGGUGCGUAGGCGGAUUGUUAAGUCAGAGGUGAAAGGUCGGGGCUUAACCCGGGAACUGCCUUUAAAACUGGCGGUCUAGAGAGUAGAUGCGGUAGGCGGAAUGUGUGGUGUAGCGGUGAAAUGCUUAGAGAUCAUACAGAACACCGAUUGCGAAGGCAGCUUACUAAACUGUAACUGACACUGAUGCUCGAAAGUGUGGGUAUCAAACAGGAUUAGAUACCCCAGUAGUC